rnacentral:rRNA from 1 species
CCUACGGGGGGCUGCAGUGAGGAAUAUUGGUCAAUGGGCGCAAGCCUGAACCAGCCAUCCCGCGUGCAGGAAGACGGCCCUAUGGGUUGUAAACUGCUUUUCCGAAAGGCGAAACUCAGCGACGUGUCGUUGAUUGACGGUAUUUCGGGAAUAAGCAUCGGCUAACUCCGUGCCAGCAGCCGCGGUAAUACGGAGGAUGCGAGCGUUAUCCGGAUUCAUUGGGUUUAAAGGGUGCGUAGGCGGACUAAUAAGUCAGUGGUGAAAUCCUGCAGCUUAACUGCAGAACUGCCAUUGAUACUGUUAGUCUUGAGUUUGGUUAAGGUAGGCGGAAUGUGUAAUGUAGCGGUGAAAUGCUUAGAUAUUACACAGAACACCAAUUGCGUAGGCAGCUUACUGGACCGACACUGACGCUGAGGCACGAAAGCGUGGGGAUCGAACAGGAUUAGAUACCCCUGUAGUC